rnacentral:rRNA from 2 species
CACCGCGGUCAUACGAGUGUUAGCCCGAGCAGAUGGUCAACGGCGUAAAGAGUGGUUAGGGGCCGUACGCAACUAAAGCUAAACCCUCGCAAAGCCGUUAUACGCAUUUGAUAGCAGGAAGUUCCCCCACGAAAGUGGCUUUAACCCAACCCGAACCCACGACAGCUAGGACA